rnacentral:rRNA from 1 species
AGGUUAAGCUGACGAGUGGCGAACGGGUGAGUAAUGUAUCGGAACGUGCCCAGUCGUGGGGGAUAACUGCUCGAAAGAGCAGCUAAUACCGCAUACGACCUGAGGGUGAAAGCGGGGGAUCGCAAGACCUCGCGCGAUUGGAGCGGCCGAUAUCAGAUUAGGUAGUUGGUGGGGUAAAGGCUCACCAAGCCAACGAUCUGUAGCUGGUCUGAGAGGACGACCAGCCACACUGGGACUGAGACACGGCCCAGACUCCUACGGGAGGCAGCAGUGGGGAAUUUUGGACAAUGGGCGCAAGCCUGAUCCAGCCAUGCCGCGUGCGGGAAGAAGGCCUUCGGGUUGUAAACCGCUUUUGUCAGGGAAGAAAAGGUUCUGGCUAAUACCUGGGACUCAUGACGGUACCUGAAGAAUAAGCACCGGCUAACUACGUGCCAGCAGCCGCGGUAAUACGUAGGGUGCAAGCGUUAAUCGGAAUUACUGGGCGUAAAGCGUGCGCAGGCGGUUAUGCAAGACAGAGGUGAAAUCCCCGGGCUCAACCUGGGAACUGCCUUUGUGACUGCAUAGCUAGAGUGCGGCAGAGGGGGAUGGAAUUCCGCGUGUAGCAGUGAAAUGCGUAGAUAUGCGGAGGACACCGAUGGCGAAGGCAA